GGUGACUAACAUGCAUAGGUGCGAUAUCACAACAUAUCUCGUCGUGAUAUUUUCUUAUGGAAAACAAUACUAUGACUUGUUCAGUAACUUAGACUUCACCAUGCUCAGUCAACCACUGUAACCAGUAGGGAUUUUGAUGCUUGAUGCAUGUCAAAUAUACUCUUUCCAUGAGUUGCAUGCUUGCCACAUUAGCACAGUUACCACCAUCAACGAUCAUUCCAUAUAUCUUACCAUUGACAAAACAUCACGUGUGGAAGAUGUUCUCCCUCUGCUCAUUGUCUUCACUCCUAACUUCCACAUUAAAAGCUAUU
rnacentral:lncRNA from 1 species